CAUAGAAGGUAUAAAUAAGAUGCUUGAUUUGUAGGUUUAGAGGAAGAGGCAAAAAGUACAAUAGUUUAACUGCAAGAGUCAUGAAUCAAGCAAACUCUACUUGUGACAUGGUACAAUAUACAAAGCCCUAGCGUGAGUGAUAGAGUAAUCGUGAAACUGCGUGAAGCGUGUAAAACUGCACAAGGUGUAAUUGUGUGCUUAGUCCAAAAUUAGCUCAUGG